UUAGAGCUUUACGACGCAAUGUGCCAUGGGAAUCGAGGAAGACCAAGUUCUUAAAAUGCCUUGCCUCCUCUUGCCAUUCACUGAAUGAAUCAAUUCCACUUUUAACCUGCAUCUCGUUACUGAUUCAAUUUUAUAAGGAGAGAACUUAGUAAGUACCCGUUACCCCGCCAGAUGCAAAUCAUUUUCGUGUGGUAAACUUAAAUCGGGUCACUAGCUUAACAUAAUUCUGCCAAUUGUUGCUUCAUAAAAUAAAUUCUUUGAGCUGCUUUUGCCAGCUUGAAUUUGUUGUAGUAGUUCAUUUACAGGUGGCAAUCGCAGGAGCAUUAUUAGUUCUCUCUGUAUGUUCUCCUCUGUUAUCUGUGAUAAAUGAUUUGCUGUAUUUAGUUACGUAACAUGACUUAUAAAAUGUAAUUUAAAGAUGCAAGAAAUUAUAUAAGGCUACGCUUGAACAAUGCUUUGGUUCAGGAAUGAACUAUUCUAACUUAUACCCAUUUUCUUGUCAAAUUUGUUUGUAUUUUCUAGGAGCCAAGGCCGUUAUCGCAGUCGGAUUUGGAAAAAGUCAUCUCUAAAACAACAAAGACGAAAGUUGCUACAAGCGAAUAUUCUCGAUUAAGCUCACAAUCAUCAUGGCCAGGUGAUAGGGAUUCAGACGAUUAUCAGGAGUGAUUGAUUGGAUUGCAGAGAGACUGUAAUAGUAGCAUUGUUGGAUAAUGUGGAGCAUAAUCAUCUUUGUACUCGUCUCCUCGAUACAUAAGAGGAUAUUUAGGGCCAGUUUUCUACAUAUACAGACUGAGAGGUGUGAGAUCGCAGUUCUAAACUUCUUCACUGUGAAAACCUCCAACUGCAACUAUAGGGCACUCUUACAUCACAUUUACGAAAAGCUAGUUGAAUACUUAUAUUUGCUUUGGGUUUUUAUUUAUUUAUUUAUUUUUGUAUA